rnacentral:rRNA from 1 species
UGCUGGGUGGAUUAGUGGCGAACGGGUGAGUAACACGUGAGUAACCUGCCCUUAACUCUGGGAUAAGCCUGGGAAACUGGGUCUAAUACCGGAUAGGAGCGCCCACCGCAUGGUGGGUGUUGGAAAGAUUUAUCGGUUUUGGAUGGACUCGCGGCCUAUCAGCUUGUUGGUGAGGUAAUGGCUCACCAAGGCGACGACGGGUAGCCGGCCUGAGAGGGUGACCGGCCACACUGGGACUGAGACACGGCCCAGACUCCUACGGGAGGCAGCAGUGGGGAAUAUUGCACAAUGGGCGAAAGCCUGAUGCAGCGACGCCGCGUGAGGGAUGACGGCCUUCGGGUUGUAAACCUCUUUCAGUAGGGAAGAAGCGAAAGUGACGGUACCUGCAGAAGAAGCACCGGCUAACUACGUGCCAGCAGCCGCGGUAAUACGUAGGGUGCGAGCGUUAUCCGGAAUUAUUGGGCGUAAAGAGCUCGUAGGCGGUUUGUCGCGUCUGUCGUGAAAGUCCGGGGCUUAACCCCGGAUCUGCGGUGGGUACGGGCAGACUAGAGUGCAGUAGGGGAGACUGGAAUUCCUGGUGUAGCGGUGGAAUGCGCAGAUAUCAGGAGGAACACCGAUGGCGAAGGCAGGUCUCUGGGCUGUAACUGACGCUGAGGAGCGAAAGCAUGGGGAGCGAACAGGAUUAGAUACCCUGGUAGUCCAUGCCGUAAACGUUGGGCACUAGGUGUGGGGACCAUUCCACGGUUUCCGCGCCGCACCUAACGCAUUAAGUGCCCCGCCUGGGGAGUACGGCCGCAAGGCUAAAACUC